rnacentral:rRNA from 1 species
UUGCACGCUGGCGGCAGGCCUCACACCUGCCAGUCGCACGGUAACAGGAAACAGCUUGCUGUUUCGCUGACGAGUGGCGGACGGGUGAGUAAUGUCUGGGAAACUGCCUGAUGGAGGGGGAUAACUACUGGAAACGGUAGCUAAUACCGCAUAACGUCGCAAGACCAAGAGGGGGACCCUCGGGCCUCUUGCCAUCGGAUGUGCCCAGAUGGGAUUAGCUUGUUGGUGGGGUAACGGCUCACCAAGGCGACGAUCCCUAGCUGGUCUGAGAGGAUGACCAGCCACACUGGAACUGAGACACGGUCCAGACUCCUACGGGAGGCAGCAGUGGGGAAUAUUGCACAAUGGGCGCAAGCCUGAUGCAGCCAUGCCGCGUGUAUGAAGAAGGCCUUCGGGUUGUAAUGUACUUUCAGCGGGGAGGAAGGGAGUAAAGUUAAUACCUUUGCUCAUUGACGUUACCCGCAGAAGAAGCACCGGCUAACUCCGUG